GAUGAACGCUAGCGGGAGGCCUAACACAUGCAAGCCGAGCGGUAGAGUUUCUUCGGAAACUUGAGAGCGGCGCACGGGUGCGUAACACGUGUGCAACCUACCUUUAUCUGGGGGAUAGCCUUUCGAAAGGAAGAUUAAUACCCCAUAAUAUAAUGAUUGGCAUCAAUUAUUAUUGAAAACUCCGGUGGAUAGAGAUGGGCACGCGCAAGAUUAGAUAGUUGGUGAGGUAACGGCUCACCAAGACAAUGAUCUUUAGGGGUCCUGAGAGGGAGAUCCCCCACACUGGUACUGAGACACGGACCAGACUCCUACGGGAGGCAGCAGUGAGGAAUAUUGGACAAUGGGUGAGAGCCUGAUCCAGCCAUCCCGCGUGAAGGAUGACGGUCCUAUGGAUUGUAAACUUCUUUUGGACAGGGAUAAACCUACCCUCGUGAGGGUAGCUGAAGGUACUGUACGAAUAAGCACCGGCUAACUCCGUG
rnacentral:rRNA from 1 species